rnacentral:tRNA from 52 species
AAGAAUAGUAGGGGGC